rnacentral:tRNA from 1 species
AGAAUAGAAUGAUUUUGGUUACAUUAAUUUUAUUAAUGAGGGAGUCGUAAGUAAGAUUUCUAUUUUG